AACGCACAUUGCGCCCGGUAGUAUUCUACCGGGCAUGCCUGUUCGAGCGUCAUUUCAAACCCUCAAGCCCUGUUGCUUGGUGUUGGGAAUCUGCGUUAGCAGUUCCUUAAAUCUAGUGGCGGAGCGGAUCGUACUCUAAGCGUAGUAAAUUAUUCUCGCUUGCGAGUGCCUUCGUUCCCGCCGUAAAACCCCUUAUUUUACAGGUUUGACCUCGGAUCAGGUAGGAAUACCCGCUGAACUUAA
rnacentral:misc_RNA from 1 species